rnacentral:rRNA from 1 species
AUUGAACGCUGGCGGCAGGCCUAACACAUGCAAGUCGAACGCGUGGCGGACGGGUGAGUAAUGUCUGGGAAACUGCCUGAUGGAGGGGGAUAACUACUGGAAACGGUAGCUAAUACCGCAUACCAUCAGCUGUGCCCAGAUGGGAUUAGCUUGUUGGUGGGGUAACGGCUCACCAAGGCGACGAUCCCUAGCUGGUCUGAGAGGAUGUCCAGACACACUGGAACUGAGACAAGGUCCAGACUCAUACGGGAGGCAGGAGGGGGGAAUAUUGCACAAUGGGCGCAAGACGGAUGCAGCCAUGCCGAGUGUAUGAAGGAGGCCUUCGGGUUGUAAAGUACGUUCAGCGGGGAGGCGUGACCGGAAGAAGAAGCACCGGCUAACUCCGUGCCAGGAGCCGCGGUAAUAC